rnacentral:rRNA from 1 species
GGGUAGCUGGUCUGAGAGGAUGGUCAGCCACACUGGGACUGAGAUACGGCCCAGACUCCUACGGGAGGCAGCAGUCGAGAGGCUUCGGCAAUGGGGGAAACCCUGACCGAGCGACGCCGCGUGGGCGAUGAAGGCCGUUAGGUUGUAAAGCCCUGUCGAGCGGGAAAAAUUGCAGGCGGGUGAACAAUCCGUCUGUUUGAUGGUACCGCUAAAGGAAGCUCCGGCCAACUCCGUGCCAGCAGCCGCGGUAAUACGGGGGGAGCGAACGUUGUUCGGAAUUACUGGGCGUAAAGGGCGUGCAGGCGGUCCUGUAAGAGAGUUGUGAAUGCCCUGGCUCAACCAGGGAAAUGCACCUCUGACUGCAGGACUUGAGUAUGGGAGAGGAUAGGGGAAUUCCCGGUGUAGCGGUGAAAUGCAUUGAUAUCGGGAGGAACACCAGUGGCGAAGGCGCCCAUCUGGCCUAAUACUGACGCUCAGGCGCGAAAGCUAGGGGAGCAAACAGGAUUAGAUACCCUGGUAGUCCUAGCCGUAAACGGUGGGCACUAGGUGUAGGAGGCAUCGACCCCUCCUGUGCCGCAGCUAACGCAUUAAGUGCCCCGCCUGGGGAGUACGACCGCAAGGUUGAAACUCAAAGGAAUUGACGGGGGCCCGCACAAGCGGUGGAGCAUGUGGUUUAAUUCGAUACAACGCGAAGAACCUUACCCAGACUUGACAUGCACUGGACCGGUGUGGAAACACACCUUCCCUUCGGGGCCGGUGCACAGGUGCUGCAUGGCUGUCGUCAGCUCGUGUCGUGAGAUGUUGGGUUAAGUCCCGCAACGAGCGCAACCCUUGUCCUUAGUUGCCAUCAAGUUAUGUUGGGCACUCUAGGGAGACUGCCGUCGAUAAGGCGGAGGAAGGUGGGGAUGACGUCAAGUCCUCAUGGUCCUUACGUCUGGGGCUACACACGUGCUACAAUGGUCGGUACAGAGGGUUGCAAUGCCGCGAGGUGGAGCCAAUCCCACAAAACCGGCCUCAGUUCGGAUUGCAGUCUGCAACUCGGCUGCAUGAAGUUGGAAUCGCUAGUAAUCGCUGAUCAGCAGGCAGCGGUGAAUAUGUUCCCGGGCCUUGUACACACCGCCCGUCAAGCCACGAAAGUUGGCAGUACCCGACGUCGCUGUCCUAACCGCAAGGAGGGAGGCGCCUAAGGUAAGGCCACUGAUUGGGGCUAAGUCGUAACAAGGUA